GGGGGGGGGGGGGGGUGGGCCGGGGGCGUGCGGGUCGGGCGGCGGCGCAGUGGGCGGUUGCUCUUGGGGGUGGCGUGUGGCGGGCGGGUGAGGAGUACAUCGGCAUCUACUUUUUCGUGUGGGCUACCGUAGGGACACUUCCGCUAAUACCGCAUCCGACCUACGGCUGAAAUCUGGUGAUCUUCGUACCUUGCGCGUUUGUAUGAGCCUCUGUCGACUUCGCUCUUUUGCGGUGUCAAGGCCCACCAAGUCUACGAUCCGUAGCUUGACUGAGAGGAUGGUCGGCCACACUGGAACUGGGACACGGACCAGACUACUACGGGAGGCAGCAGUGGGGAAUAUGGGAAAAUGGGCGCAAGCCUGAUCCAGCCAUACCGAGUGGGUGAAGAAGGCCUUCGGGUUGUAAAGACCUUUUGUUGGGAAAGAAAAGCAGCAGGUUAAUAACACGCGGUGCUGACGGUACCAAAAGAAUAAGCACCGGCUAACUUCGUG
rnacentral:rRNA from 1 species